GCCCAUACAAUAAUUAAAUGACUCAAAAGGUCCUAACCUAAACACAUAAUUUGUAAUGAUAAUUUUACCCCUAUGAACAAAACAGUACCCAUGAAUAGUACUUGGGAAUAGUAUUUAGUGAACAGUAAAUAAACAAUUUUUAAAAAAUAUUAGAAUCCCAAUAAAUUUAAAAACCCUAAAACUAAAAUCAAAAUAUACAUCUUUAAAAUUGUAUAAAAUUAAAAAUAAAAAUAAUUUUGUCCUGCAUCAUUCUCCCCUAGUUGGAGAAAACUCGAAGAAAACAAGCCACGCACUAGGAAAAUUUGAGAAAGCAGUAAAUCGGCAAAAAAGAAGCUAAACACAAGCACAAGUCGAAGAAACCUAUGGUUUCUUCCCCAUAUCCCAAGCUAGGGUUCUAAAAGCCUAAGCUUUUCUUUCAUUUUCAAUUUCUAAAACUCAUGUGGAAUGACCCCCUCAAGGCCACACACCUCUUAUAAAUUAUAAUUUAUUGCUCAAAGAUAUUAAUAUCCAUACAAUAAUUAAACUGACCAAAAAAGUCCCAACUUAAACAAAAAUUUCGUAAUAACAAUUUUAUCCCUAUGAAUGUAACCCGUGAACAGUACUCAUGAAUAGUACCUAUAAACAGUACCAUGAAUAGUAACCAGUCAAUACUAAAUAAAAAAUAUAAAAUAAUCCUAGAAUCCUUGAAACUUAAAAACCCUAAAAAUAAGCUCUAAAACUAAAAUCAAAAUGUACAUCCUUUGAAAUUGAAUAAAAAUUGAAAAUAAGAAUAAUUUUUUGCUUGCAUCACAUCAGUUCCUAAAGUAGCCUGGGGAAUUAUGGAUUGAGUGCCAUAUCCCAUCUACACUGAUUCGAGAUGAGUUCCAAUUAACUAAAUCUUCAUUCUUGA
rnacentral:lncRNA from 1 species